rnacentral:rRNA from 1 species
GACGAACGCUGGCGGCGUGCUCAACACAUGCAAGUCGAACGGAAAGGCCCUGCUUUUGUGGGGUGCUCGAGUGGCGAACGGGUGAGUAACACGUGAGUAACCUGCCCUUGACUUUGGGAUAACUUCAGGAAACUGGGGCUAAUACCGGAUAGGAGCUCCUGCUGCAUGGUGGGGGUUGGAAAGUUUCGGCGGUUGGGGAUGGACUCGCGGCUUAUCAGCUUGUUGGUGGGGUAGUGGCUUACCAAGGCUUUGACGGGUAGCCGGCCUGAGAGGGUGACCGGCCACAUUGGGACUGAGAUACGGCCCAGACUCCUACGGGAGGCAGCAGUGGGGAAUAUUGCACAAUGGGCGGAAGCCUGAUGCAGCAACGCCGCGUGCGGGAUGACGGCCUUCGGGUUGUAAACCGCUUUCGCCUGUGACGAAGCGUGAGUGACGGUAAUGGGUAAAGAAGCACCGGCUAACUACGUGCCAGCAGCCGCGGUGAUACGUAGGGUGCGAGCGUUGUCCGGAUUUAUUGGGCGUAAAGGGCUCGUAGGUGGUUGAUCGCGUCGGAAGUGUAAUCUUGGGGCUUAACCCUGAGCGUGCUUUCGAUACGGGUUGACUUGAGGAAGGUAGGGGAGAAUGGAAUUCCUGGUGGAGCGGUGGAAUGCGCAGAUAUCAGGAGGAACACCAGUGGCGAAGGCGGUUCUCUGGGCCUUUCCUGACGCUGAGGAGCGAAAGCGUGGGGAGCGAACAGGCUUAGAUACCCUGGUAGUCCACGCUGUAAACGGUGGGUACUAGGUGUGGGGUCCAUUCCACGGGUUCCGUGCCGUAGCUAACGCUUUAAGUACCCCGCCUGGGGAGUACGGCCGCAAGGCUAAAACUCAAAGGAAUUGACGGGGCCCCGCACAAGCGGCGGAGCAUGCGGAUUAAUUCGAUGCAACGCGUAGAACCUUACCUGGGUUUGACAUGGAUCGGGAGCGCUCAGAGAUGGGUGUGCCUCUUUUGGGGUCGGUUCACAGGUGGUGCAUGGCUGUCGUCAGCUCGUGUCGUGAGAUGUUGGGUUAAGUCCCGCAACGAGCGCAACCCUUGUUCACUGUUGCCAGCACGUUAUGGUGGGGACUCAGUGGAGACCGCCGGGGUCAACUCGGAGGAAGGUGGGGAUGACGUCAAGUCAUCAUGCCCCUUAUGUCCAGGGCUUCACGCAUGCUACAAUGGCUGGUACAGAGAGUGGCGAGCCUGUGAGGGUGAGCGAAUCUCGGAAAGCCGGUCUCAGUUCGGAUUGGGGUCUGCAACUCGACCUCAUGAAGUCGGAGUCGCUAGUAAUCGCAGAUCAGCAACGCUGCGGUGAAUACGUUCCCGGGGCU